UAGGCAUCAGAGAAUCGGCUUCCUGUGUC
rnacentral:piRNA from 1 species